GCAAACUUGGUCAUUUAGAGGAAGUAAAAGUCGUAACAAGGUCUCCGUUGGUGAACCAGCGGAGGGAUCAUUAUCGAGUUAUUCAACUCCCAAACCCAAUGUGAACCUUACCAUUUUGUUGCUUCGGCGGGAUUGCCCCCGGGCGCCUUCGUGGCGGACCCGGAACCUGGCGCCCGCCGGAGGUCCCAAAAACUCUUGUUUUUUCAGUGGUAUUUUUUCUGAUUGGCUUUUAAAGCAAAAAUAAAUGAAUCAAAACUUUCAACAACGGAUCUCUUGGUUCUGGCAUCGAUGAAGAACGCAGC
rnacentral:misc_RNA from 1 species